rnacentral:lncRNA from 1 species
CCGCAACGGUGACUUGCAAGCAACUCACUGUACUAGGCACUGGACUACCUGAAUUUUUAAUUCAGUGACGGAAGGCUGCUGGGUGUAGUCAAGUACUUGACUUGUCGGUGCGUGUAUCAAGAUGGGAUUGACCACUCCAGUUCAGGAGCUGUGUACAGUCGUGUUUCAAUUUAGCAAAACCUUGGCCAGGAUAGUCCUAGUGAGGAGUCACAGGACUGUUUGAGUUGAGCACGACUCGGAUGAUCUAAUCAGGGUUGACAG